rnacentral:lncRNA from 1 species
AGGUUACAUUAGGCUCUAAGAAUGGAUCUCUUAACAUAACUAGGAGUGGCUUUCAUUCCAAUGUAGGUGGGGCCUCCAAUGAAGGACUUAUAUGUGUGAUAGAGGGAUAGGGCAUUUGCUCAUAUUUGAUGGCCUGUGGAGGAGCGAAAAUGGAUGGCUCUAAUAGGGCAUUCACUUCUUCCAUGUAUCCAUCUUUGUCGAUGUUG